UUAAGUUCAGCGGGUAUCCCUACCUGAUCCGAGGUCAAGCGCGAAAAUAUGGGCUUCAUGGACGCCUGCAACACAGCGAAGAGCGCAAAAUGUGCUGCGCUCAAACACCAGAUUGCCGGCUGCCAAUUGAUUUGAGGCGAGUUCACGCGCUGCGGCGGAACAAACACCCAUCACAAGCAGAGCUUGAGGGUACAAAUGAC
rnacentral:misc_RNA from 1 species